GGCUAGAGCGGGCUGUGGCCACGAUGAAAGCGAGCCACAUGAAGACAAUUAGGCUAAAUUAUGUCCAGUCGCAGCAGACGAGCUAACAGUGCAAGGGGAGGCAGGCCGACUCCAGCCAGGCUCGAUGUCUGCCUUGCCCCGCGGCUGCCACUCAUACAUCACCGAUCAAGGGAAGCCCCCGCAGGUCUGUCACUUUGCAGCGGGGCUGCUGUAAUUAUGCUGUGGGAAGCACCGCUCACUUCGCCGCAGCCUGAGCGGAUUAAGGAUCCUCCGCGCCGUUUCCCACCCCUCUCUGCCAGGUACCUGCCCGGGGAUGACAGAUGGUCAGGGGCCAUUUAUUUCCCCUAAUGAGCCUGGUACAAAAGGAGAUGGCUCCCAAAACACAUGUAUAUUUUCAGCAAACUUUAAAAAAAAAAUAAAAAAAGCCUCCUGGCUCCCAGGGGUGGAGAUGGGGAGGGUCCGAGCCCAGGCGAGGAAAGCGUGCCAGGAGAAAUUUGGGGCUCGGGGGCUCUGCAGGCUCCGGGAAAUGUUCUGGGAAAGGCUCUGCAGCUUGGGAAAUGGGGCAGGAGACUUUAAACACACUGUAGCUCCUCUCAGCUCGGCCACAGGCCAGCAGGAGCCAACAGAAACACGAGGCUUCGGCCGGCGUGGAUGAGAGGGGGCUGGCGGUGGGCACCGGUGGCUGCUGAGGGAUGAAGAUAAUUCCAGGACUAAGCACGUGCGGGGAUUACAGUGGGAAAGGGGAGCAGGGCUGCAGCCUGAGCUGAUGCAAAGCGCCAGAGCUUCGAAGGAUGCGCGCGGAUUAAUGCCAGCUGCAGGCUUAGCCACACGACCGGAUUCACUUUGACCCUCCCCAAAAGUGCCAUUAGUGCUGGAGAUGCAGGUACAGCCGCUCAGCAUCCCCCGAGGCCCAGCAGGGAAGGCAGGCACCGGCUUCCAGGACUCGAUUUCCACCCACAAAUUGUUUUUUGGGACGAGAGCUUCCCUGCACCCACGCAUCUUUGGCCACGGUGCCAAGUGGAGCGCACGGUGCGGCUCCCAGGGGCAGCCCCGGAGCACCCACCUCCAGCCUGUCUCCUCUGGGUACCCAAAAGCGAAAAAAUAAAAAUAAAAACAAAGUCCUGAGCCUUGAGACAAAGCCUCGAGCCUGGGAUUUGCAGCAUCUGCUCGAGGUGGCACCUGCAGGAGGGGCACAGCCCCGAGCCAACGAGGCCGUCCCGGAGACGAAGCGCUGCUAAACCCGAGGGUCCCGCCCCGUGCUGCUAAUUAAACAUCCCACAGCAGUCGGAGCGAAAGCCAGGCAAGUCUCCUGGCCUCCUCCAGCCCCAGGUAAUUAUUUUCAGCCCCUCGACCCCACGGCCGUGGCAGCUGGGACACGACACGGUGCGUGCCGGGGCCACGCAGCCACUGCUGGGGGGGGACCCCCGGAGCGAGAUAAAAGGUGAGCCGGGGGCACCGGGCGCCCGGCCCCGCUGCCAGCUCAUUAAAAGCCAGCGUUCGCAGGUCCCCCCUUUUAAACUGUUUAUCCAUUAUUGAAAAUCCCAUAUGUUACGUGUCCAGGAAGAUCAGCUUUCAGCCGCGAGAUAAGCUGCCUCCAUUUAUUGUUCUUCCCUCUCGCCCUCCUCCCUCCCCCUGGGCUUUUAAUUACAUCCAUCACCUCCCACCCCUCCGGUGGAGCUGGCUGCGUGUCUCACCAGCCCAGCAAGGGAACAAGGCCCUUUUUUUUUUAUUAUUUUUUUUUUCCCCUCUCGGAUUCAGCAAUUGUUUCGCUUCCCAAGUCCUAGCGCGAGAGGCGUUUAGCAGCCGCUGUGAAAUUUCAGCCAGGAUUGGAAUUUAUUUUAAGACGCCGGCCUUUAAAUUUUUCAUUAAACCUUUUUCCCCCUGCGAUGCAGCAGGCUGCUGCGGGGAACCGGAGGGGGGGAACGGGGCAUUUGCAUGCCCAGCACGUCGGGAAGGGAAGGAGGAUUUCUCCUGGGCAAAAACCUUUGGGCACACGCGCCCCGUGCCUGGCUGGAGCAGGGCUGCCCGGUGGGAGCGAGCCCCGGGGGCUCCCUUUGCUCAGGGUGGGC